rnacentral:lncRNA from 1 species
UGUCAUAGGGUCCUCUUUAGAAGGCUGUGUUAACUGUUAACAAAUCGUAAGAAUACUAGCCAUCAAGUUUAUAUAUAGUUGUAUGCAAUAAGAUCAAGAUGAUCAGAAAACAAAACAAAUCGGCUUAAAUCACAUAUUACAAAAGAUAUUUUCAGAGCUAUAUAACUGUCAAUCGAGCUAGUUUUACCAUAAUAUAUACACACAAGCUAACAUGUUUACCGAUUCAUUUCCAGAAUCUAGGUCCCUUAUUGGAUCUUCCAUUAUUCUUUCCAUCCCAUACAGAUGACCAGAAGAAAAGAGACAUCCAGAAAAAAACAGCACAGAAAAUCUGGACACUUUCUUGAAAUCUAGACAAAGAUGCAAUUGAACCUAACUCGAGCUCUGAUCAUCACCGGGCGGCGGUUCAGUCUCCGGCGGAGACGGCGGAUGAGGACUCGCAGCACGGCACCGGCGACGGCGUAGUCUGGAAUUACGUGGCGGAAGUGGAGACCAACAGUGUGAUGAUGUGAUUCUACUAGUGGAACAACUGCAGUGGACCGACGGAACGAAAGGAGUGAUGUCGGUGAGAAUCGACAGUCGGUGGUGGUGGUGGUGGUGGUUUACGGUGGCCGGAGAUAGAAGAGUCGGUGCCAUUCGUUUGUAACUGAUAUUUUCGGUGGUAAUGA